AACAGGUGUUAAGAGGAAGAGAGGAGCAAGCAUAUAUAUAUGGCACUCCAGGAAGAUGAAGGUGGGAUUAUAGAAGUGCUGUUAGUACCAGGGACACUGGACAAGAAAGAUAAGCAAGCCACUGCUGUCUGAUUCCUACAUAGCAGGUUAAAGUGUUGGAUUCAUAAUUCUCACUUCAGGAAGACUGAAAACCAGACUUUAUUCUGCUAGAUCCCAAGAUAUCAAGGAAGAGGAAAAGGGAAGAGCCCCAGGCACUAUUAAACCACAGCUACAAUCACUGCCAUUUGAAACUUCCCACCAAACAACUUUACUAUUCUGAUUUAAUUUCAACUCCCAGGGAGAGUUAGUAUUAAGAGGAAGUACCUAUCAUCCAUGAUAAUCCACCAGCUCUGGGGGUUUAGAAGGGAAAGGAUGGAGGUCUCAGUGCUUGAGGCUAGGCUGACAGCUGAGCAGGGCUCCAGCUCACCUUAAUCUCACUCCUGUGGAUGCCUGCACUAGGGGCCUGAGCAUUCUCCCAGAUCUCUGCAUAGGAGGCUGCCCUUAGGCAUUAUUAAGGUGUGAAAGCAGCAAGAAAGAGCAGAAUUAAACUGCUUUUCUCUAAUGUAUCCUUUUACAGCCCAGUGUAUUUUGCCCUAGGCUAGCCUUUUCUUCUCCUUUCACCCUCCACAUGCCAGUCCGAGACAGCCUUUCUUCUCACAGGAAUUAUUGUAUUAUUUCUUAAAUUCUUUUUUUCUUCUCCAUGGCUUUUCUAGAGGAAACCUAACAGUGUGGGUUUAUCAAUCAUUUUGACAAGACUCUGAAUUCCACUGAACAGAUUUUUGAAUAAAAAUUAUGAACAAAGAAAGUGUAGUAAAUCUGCUAAUAGAAAAACUGACUAUGCCUUGUGGGAAAAUUUUUGUGUGUGUGACAUUCCAUCGUGUACCUGCCAGAGAAGAAAACAAUUGGGCCUGUUACUCAAAUUGUUCAAUUUUUAAGCAGGUCCAUUGUUAUGAUUGGACUUUAUUCCAAUAUAAGCACUUGCAAAAGGAUGACAUAAAGUGAGAAUAUAAUAGAAUGAUUAUAUGUAAUGAGUUUACUGAAGAACUUCUACAUCUUGGAGUACAAACAAUGUUUUGGAUUUUUUUGUUUGUUUGUUUUUUUCCCAUCAUUUUCGGCAGUGUUUUCUUGCAUUUCUCCUUGCAAGCCUUUUAAACAAUAUCAUCUACAAUUUUCUGCUUGCUUAUGAUUAUCAAAAUUAAACCCAAUUCUAUUUAUUUAAAA
rnacentral:lncRNA from 10 species